CACGUAGGGGACGAGCGUUGUCCGGAUUCAUUGGGCGUAAAGCGCGCGUAGGCGGCUCGGAAAGUCGGUCGUGAAAUGCCGGGGCUCAACCCCGGGACUGCGUCCGAUACUCUCGAGCUGGAGGCAGGUAGGGGAGAUCGGAAUUCCUGGUGUAGCGGUGAAAUGCGCAGAUAUCAGGAGGAACACCGGUGGCGAAGGCGGAUCUCUGGGCCGAUACUGACGCUGAGGAGCGAAAGCGUGGGGAGCAAACAGG
rnacentral:rRNA from 1 species